ACCGCGGUAGCCCAGUUGGUUGUGGCGUCGGCAGUACAGGUGCCGAAGGUCGCAGGUUCAAAUCUUGCCUGCGGUG